rfam:Aspergillus kawachii IFO 4308 DNA, contig: scaffold00013.
GCCCUUGUGGCGCAAUCGGUAGCGCGUAAGACUUGCAAGUCUCCCCGAAACACCCGCUUACACCCAACACGUUGCUAACUAUCCCUCUAGCUAAUCUUAAGGCUGUGGGUUCGAUCCCCACCAGGGGCU